rnacentral:misc_RNA from 1 species
UCCGGUUUGUCACCGGCAGUCCCAUUAGAGUGCCCAACUGAAUGUGGCAACUAAUGGCAAGGGUUGCGCUCGUUGCGGGACUUAACCCAACAUCUCACGACACGAGCUGACGACAGCCAUGCAGCACCUGUGUCCAGGUUCCCUUUCGGGCACCCCCCCAUCUCUGGGGGGUUCCUGGCAUGUCAAGGGUAGGUAAGGUGGGGAUGACGUAGCUAAGCCUUC